UUGUUUUAAAUGUUACAAUAUGAGAGGAGAGAGAGAGCAAAGUUCUCUCAAAGCUUCCCCGUUGGGGAAGAAAGAAAUAAAAACGCCGCCGGCGUCAGUCAUGGCGAUUCACGGCGGUGACUGCGGCGGCGCACGGCGAACGGGGUAAACUCAAACACCAAAAUAUUUCUAUCUUCACUCUCAACAUAUAUCCUCAAGUAGAUCGGCCUAAAAAUAACCUUAACUCACUAGAUCUGAUAUUUUACCUUUCGAAUCAACAAAUAUCCGGUGACGAUUUGAACUUCCCGAUGGUCCUCCGAUCAAGGUGGCCUUGUUGGUGUCUCGGCAGUGCUCGGCCGGAGCGUGCGGUGGUUGCUCAUUCGCGAAGGAAUGACGGCGGUGUUCACUGUUGCGGCAGUUGGAGAGGCUGUCACUGGCGGCUGCAUCUAGCUUGAGA